UAGGGAAUCUCUCUUNUAAUGGACGGAAGUCUGACCGAGCAACGCCGCGUGAGUGAAGAAGGUUUUCGGAUCGUAAAGCUCUGUUGUAAGAGGAGAACGAGUGUGAGAGUGGAAAGUUCACACUGUGACGGUAUCUUACCAGAAAGGGACGGCUAACUACGUGCCAGCAGCCGCGGUAAUACGUAGGUCCCGAGCGUUGUCCGGAUUUAUUGGGCGUAAAGCGAGCGCAGGCGGUUAGAUAAGUCUGAAGUUAAAGGCUGUGGCUUAACCAUAGUAGGCUUUGGAAACUGUUUAACUUGAGUGCAAGAGGGGAGAGUGGAAUUCCAUGUGUAGCGGUGAAAUGCGUAGAUAUAUGGAGGAACACCGGUGGCGAAAGCGGCUCUCUGGCUUGUAACUGACGCUGAGGCUCGAAAGCGUGGGGAGCAAACAGGAUUAGAUACCCUGGUAGUCCACGCUGUAAACGAUGAGUGCUAGGUGUUAGACCCUUUCCGGGGUUUUAGUGCCGUAGCUAACGCAUUUAAGCCACUUCCGCCUGGGGAGUACGACCGCAAGGUUGA
rnacentral:rRNA from 1 species